AUUUUCUUUCAAAAAAAGGCAGAGAGCCUUCCUGCUCUCUCUCUCCCUCCUCCCUCUUCUUAUUUGGCUAAGGUAAUAUACCCAUCAUCGCCGGAUCACCGCUCCUCCACCGUAGACGGUGGUCGGGGAGACGCAAAAUGGUCCCCUUAGCCUCAUUUGAAAUGCCUUUGAAGUCUAGGCUACCAAAACUCAAAGAAUCGAAGGAGGCCCUCAAUUUGGGUCCGAUGUCGGCGAUGGAAAAGUGUUCUCCGACGCGCGACCACGAGAUCCAGGUCGUGUCAAAGGCUGGUGGUUGGUGCCCCGAACGGUGGUGGCACACGUGGCAGAGGAGGCAGCGGCUGAAAGUCUGUAGCUAGGUUUUUUGCUGCUGAAAAUUUUUAGUUGGUUGGGCUGUCUUGGGCUUUAGGGUUUGUAUUUAAUUGGGUUUGGUUUAGUAGUGGGCUGAUGGGGUUUGGGUAGUUUGUAAUUUGGGCUAGGUGACUCUUGGACUUUAUUUUUAUUUAUUGUAUUUGGUGUUUUAUUUUGA